rnacentral:rRNA from 1 species
CCUACGGGUGGCAGCAGUGGGGAAUAUUGGACAAUGGGCGAAAGCCUGAUCCAGCCAUGCCGCGUGUGUGAAGAAGGCCUUCGGGUUGUAAAGCACUUUCAGUGGGGAAGAAAGCCUUGGGGCUAAUACCCUCGAGGAAGGACAUCACCCACAGAAGAAGCACCGGCUAACUCCGUGCCAGCAGCCGCGGUAAUACGGAGGGUGCGAGCGUUAAUCGGAAUUACUGGGCGUAAAGCGCGCGUAGGCGGUCUGAUAAGCCGGUUGUGAAAGCCCCGGGCUCAACCUGGGAAUGGCAUCCGGAACUGUCAGGCUAGAGUGCAGGAGAGGAAGGUAGAAUUCCCGGUGUAGCGGUGAAAUGCGUAGAGAUCGGGAGGAAUACCAGUGGCGAAGGCGGCCUUCUGGACUGACACUGACGCUGAGGUGCGAAAGCGUGGGUAGCAAACAGGAUUAGAUACCCCAGUAGUC